AUUGAACGCUGGCGGCAUGCUUUACACAUGCAAGUCGAACGGUAACAGGCCGCAAGGUGCUGACGAGUGGCGAACGGGUGAGUAAUGCAUCGGAACGUGCCCAGUCGUGGGGGAUAACUACUCGAAAGAGUAGCUAAUACCGCAUACGAUCUAUGGAUGAAAGCGGGGGACCGUAAGGCCUCGCGCGAUUGGAGCGGCCGAUGUCAGAUUAGUUAGUUGGUGGGGUAAAGGCUCACCAAGCCAACGAUCUGUAGCUGGUCUGAGAGGAUGACCAGCCACACUGGGACUGAGACACGGCCCAGACUCCUACGGGAGGCAGCAGUGGGGAAUUUUGGACAAUGGGCGCAAGCCUGAUCCAGCAAUGCCGCGUGCAGGAAGAAGGCCUUCGGGUUGUAAACUGCUUUUGUACGGAACGAAACGGCUCUGGUUAAUACCCGGGGCUAAUGACGGUACCGUAAGAAUAAGCACCGGCUAACUACGUG
rnacentral:rRNA from 1 species